rnacentral:rRNA from 1 species
UACGUAGGGUGCGAGCGUUGUCCGGAAUUACUGGGCGUAAAGAGCUCGUAGGUGGUUUGUCGCGUUGUUCGUGAAAACUCACAGCUUAACUGUGGGCGUGCGGGCGAUACGGGCAGACUGGAGUACUGCAGGGGAGACUGGAAUUCCUGGUGUAGCGGUGGAAUGCGCAGAUAUCAGGAGGAACACCGGUGGCGAAGGCGGCUAUCUGGACUGUGAUUGACGCUGAGGCGCGAAAGCGUGGGGAGCAAACAGG